rnacentral:rRNA from 1 species
UGGCGGCGUGCCUAUACAUGCAGAUCGGGAGCGAACGGAUAAGGAGCUUGCUCCUUUGAAGUUAGCGGCGGACGGGUGAGUAACACGUGGGUAACCUACCUAUAAGACUGGAAUAACUUCGGGAAACCGGAGCUAAUGCCGGAUAACAUUUGGAACCGCAUGGUUCUAAAGUAAAAGAUGGUUUUGCUAUCACUUAUAGAUGGACCCGCGCCGUAUUAGCUAGUUGGUAAGGUAACGGCUUACCAAGGCAACGAUACGUAGCCGACCUGAGAGGGUGAUCGGCCACACUGGAACUGAGACACGGUCCAGACUCCUACGGGAGGCAGCAGUAGGGAAUCUUCCGCAAUGGACGAAAGUCUGACGGAGCAACGCCGCGUGAGUGAUGAAGGUUUUCGGAUCGUAAAACUCUGUUAUUAGGGAAGAACAAAUGUGUAAGUAACUGUGCACAUCUUGACGGUACCUAAUCAGAAAGCCACGGCUAACUACGUGCCAGCAGCCGCGGUAAUACGUAGGUGAGAAGCGUUAUCCGGAAUUAUUGGGCGUAAAGCGCGCGUAGGCGGUUUCUUAAGUCUGAUGUGAAAAGCCCACGGCUCAACCGUGGAGGGUCAUUGGAAACUGGGA